GUCAAAUCAUCAUGCCCUUUAUGAUCUGGGCUACACACGUAAUACAAUGGUGCUAUAACAGAGGGAAGCGAAGCCGCGAGGCGGAGCGAAACCCGAAAAAGCAUCUCAGUUCGGAUUGCAGGCUGCAACUCGCCUGCAUGAAGUCGGAAUUGCUAGUAAUCGCGGAUCAUCAUGCCGCGGUGAAUACGUUCCCGGGCCUU
rnacentral:rRNA from 1 species